rnacentral:tRNA from 1 species
CCAGUGGUGGUUCAGUGGUAGAGCUCUCCCCUUCCAUGCAGGAGACCUGGGUUUGAUUCCCAGCCAAUGCA